rnacentral:RNase_P_RNA from 1 species
CCUUUGUGUUGGGUAGUUGCGCCAAUUUUGUCUACUUUAAUUAGUUGCAGUAUUGGUGAGGAAAGUCCGAACAUCGCCCCGAUUUAACAUCGGGGAGACAAGUAGCGGGUAACACCCGCCUAGAGCAAUCUACGAGGUGCGAACAGAGACGCCAAUAAGGGAAACUUUGCUGGGCGCUCCCAAAAGGAGCGUAGUCGAUCAUAUAGCUUGCUAUAUGCUCGGGUGCAACGGCUAAACCCUUACUUCGAUGCAAGGCCGUGCCCGCCAAAAUUUUGCGAAAGCAAAACUUAGGCGGGAGUGCCGCUAGAGCCCCGCAGUAAUGCUAGGCCCAGAUAAAUAACUGCCGCCAAUUUUAUUCACCUUUGGUGAACAAAAUUGGCACAGAAUUCGGCUUAUAGACACAGAGCAUAU